ACGUGUGGUUCUAUUUUGUUGGUUUCUAGGACCGCCGUAAUGAUUAAUAGGGAUAGUCGGGGGCGUCAGUAUUCAGCUGUCAGAGGUGAAAUUCUUGGAUUUGCUGAAGACUAACUACUGCGAAAGCAUUCGCCAAGGAUGUUUUCAUUAAUCAGGGAACGAAAGUUAGGGGAUCGAAGACGAUCAGAUACCGUCGUAGUCUUAACCAUAAACUAUGCCGACUAGGGAUCGGACGGGAUUCUAUAAUGACCCGUUCGGCACCUUACGAGAAAUCAAAGUUUUUGGGUUUUGGGGGGAGUAUGGUCGCAAGGCUGAAACUUAAAGAAAUUGACGGAAGGGCACCACAAGGCGUGGAGCCUGCGGCUUAAUUUGACUCAACACGGGGAAACUCACCAGGUCCAGACAAAAUAAGGAUUGACAGAUUGAGAGCUCUUUCUUGAUCUUUUGGAUGGUGGUGCAUGGCCGUUCUUAGUUGGUGGAGUGAUUUGUCUGCUUAAUUGCGAUAACGAACGAGACCUCGGCCCUUAAAUAGCCCGGUCCGCAUUUGCGGGCCGCUGGCUUCUUAAGGGGACUAUCGGCUCAAGCCGAUGGAAGUGCGCGGCAAUAACAGGUCUGUGACGCCCUUAGAUGUUCUGGGCCGCACGCGCGCUACACUGACAGGGCCAGCGAGUACAUCACCUUAACCGAGAGGUUUGGGUAAUCUUGU
rnacentral:rRNA from 1 species